GUGAGAAAUAUUGGUCAAUGGGCGCAAGCCUGAACCAGCCAUGCCGCGUGCAGGAAGACGGUCCUAUGGAUUGUAAACUGCUUUUAUUUGGGAAUAAACUCCGGUACGUGUACCGGCCUGAAGGUACCAAAUGAAUAAGCACCGGCUAACUCCGUGCCAGCAGCCGCGGUAAUACGGAGGGUGCAAGCGUUAUCCGGAAUCAUUGGGUUUAAAGGGUCCGCAGGCGGUCUUAUAAGUCAGUGGUGAAAGCCUACAGCUCAACUGUAGAACUGCCAUUGAUACUGUAGGACUUGAAUUCGAUCGAAGUGGGCGGAAUGUGACAUGUAGCGGUGAAAUGCUUAGAUAUGUCACAGAACACCGAUAGCGAAGGCAGCUCACUAGGUCUGGAUUGACGCUCAGGGACGAAAGCGUGGGGAGCAAACAGGAUUAGAAACCCGGGUAGUCC
rnacentral:rRNA from 1 species